UACAGAGGCCUCAAGCGUUGUUCGGAUUCAUUGGGCGUAAAGGGUGCGUAGGUGGCUUCGUAAGUCCGUUGUGAAAGUCAAAGGCUCAACCUUUGAAAGCCGAUGGAUACUGCGGAGCUAGAGUACGGAAGAGGCGAGUGGAAUUCCUGGUGUAGCGGUGGAAUGCGCAGAUAUCAGGAGGAACACCGGUGGCGAAGGCGGGUCUCUGGGCCGAUACUGACGCUGAGGAGCGAAAGCGUGGGGAGCGAACAGG
rnacentral:rRNA from 1 species